CCUACGGGUGGCAGCAGUGAGGAAUAUUGGUCAAUGGGCGCUAGCCUGAACCAGCCAAGUAGCGUGAAGGAUGACUGCCCUAUGGGUUGUAAACUUCUUUUAUAUGGGAAUAAAGUGCAGUAUGUAUACUGCUUUGCAUGUACCUUAUGAAUAAGGAUCGGCUAACUCCGUGCCAGCAGCCGCGGUAAUACGUAGGGGGCAAGCGUUAUCCGGAUUUACUGGGUUUAAAGGGAGCGUAGACGGCAGUGCAAGUCUGGAGUGAAAGGCGGGGGCUCAACCCCCGGACUGCUCUGGAAACUGUACGGCUGGAGUGCAGGAGAGGUAAGUGGAAUUCCUAGUGUAGCGGUGAAAUGCUUAGAUAUCACGAAGAACUCCGAUUGCGAAGGCAGCCUGCUGGACUGUAACUGACGCUGAUGCUCGAAAGUGUGGGUAUCAAACAGGAUUAGAUACCCGAGUAGUC
rnacentral:rRNA from 1 species